GAAAGGCCGCGGUGUGCCAGCGCGUUGCGCAGAAGGGCAUGUCGGCCACAGUCGCACGCGGUACGCAGUCCGGAAAUGUGGGUGGCUGCUUUGCCGGAACUGAAAGCACCGAAAGCAAACAACGUAGCUUGCAAGACUGGGCUCAUGAAACGGCCGCGGGAAGAGGAAGCGUUGGGCGAAGCGGCACUUUUGUGAAGCAAAAUGUUCCGACUAAUGUCAAAAAAAUACAAACUGACGCAAUAAAUAUAACAUACACAGAAUUAAACAAAAGAACACAUAAGUCGUUCAGAGCCGUGUAAGUAACAUGGACGCCGCUGAUGGCUUGGAACAGCUUUUUGGAACAGCCGAUACCGACACCAGCGUUUUGGGUGGUAUGCUGCUCCUUACAAGGACUGCUCGUAGCGUGCUCGGUUGAAUGCUCGGUAGCUGAGAGGGCUGAUGUUCGUUCCAAGAAGUGAACUGAGGACUGAUGCUACACGUCAUGUAUACGCGUUGCUUAGCUUGCAACGUGACGCGCCCACGAUGAAAGGUAUGCACGUAAAUUCGCCCGUGGGCCGAACGCCUUGUAACACGCUUCAACUACACUCACAAUACAAUAUACUGCUGCACUAUUCUCUCCAGUCCUGCCACAUUAUGUUUCACCGACGUACUUCGGCACCUUCCACAUCUAUAGACUUUGCGAACGCGGUCAGCUGCUUCACCAGGACCCCCAUAUUUGGAAUCAGCCUCCUUGUGUGAAACUUAAUAAUCCAUGGUUGCCGGGUAGUAGGGGGUACCGUACAACGGGGGUUCCGUACAACCCAGUCCUUCAAACCCGGCUUAAACACCCUUGCAUAGCAAACAGGCCGCCAGUAAGUGCAAGGGAAUGCAGUUAUAAACCUUUUAACCACAGGGCUUCGAAAAAGCUUUUACGCGGGAAAAGGGCGCGUACUAACUAGGUAACUAACUAAAGCCCCCGACGUUCUGGGAUGUACUCCCACAGUUGUCACUUGCAGAUCCAUUGGCCGGGCCCUCCUUGCCCUCCCACGCACAACUUGACGUCUAGCCGUACAGCAGUCACGCAAACAUUUUCUACCUGCUCAAGAGUGACCUUAACGACCCCUCCACUGCAGGUUCUUUCGCUUGCCGGGAGAGUCAAGGAGUGUAUGUAAGGCCGUUGAAAGCGGUCACGGUCAGGCCUGCGUGUUUUGAAGGAUGCACAUCACUGGCGUGCUGGUUCCAGAUUUGGAGCGAUCCGCAAGGAGAGGAAUCUAUUCAAGUGUAUACCUGUGCUCACGCUUCCAAGCCCAUGAUUGCAAGAAACUGGAGACGUUGUCUUUGGGCUCGGCAGGCUCAGCGGCCGGCGUUGGCUCAGCCCGAGCUCUCUUCGUUUUAGGUUCUUGCAUUUUUCAUUUGUUAUUCAGUGCGAGAUUCGUUUGCUAUUUAGAGUCAUGUGGUUGCAUUCAUUCGACCCUGGCCCUCAUCGUCCUAAAACGAGCAAGAACUUGGUGAACGUCAUUUAGGUGAAAGGGUGCAGGGCAAAAUGCCCCUUCUAGCUAUGCGAGUGUAGAAGCAGGCCAGAAGCAUGCAUCCCUUGUACGACGCUUACUAACACAAGCAGCGAGCAUCAUGCCGGAUAUUAUGAGAUUGCGAAGCUUGUACAGUGCAGCAAAUGCAGACCAUUUUUAUGCAUAUUGAUUUCUCGCGGCUUAGCCUGGCACUUGUCCUUAUGCAUGAGGAUUAUCGACACAGCAUCAUCGCAGCGGCCAACGCUGGCAUAGCUGACAGCUAUACGAACGGAAAGAUUCACGAUGUUUGCUUUGCAUCGUUUUCAGCGAUCAGCGAACGCAACUACCUCAAGUUAUACUUAUUUUGGAAGCAGUUAGUUGCAGCACCAUGUGGGAAGCCAGGGAAGUCGAGACGGCUUUGGAAUCGGCACUCCUGCCGGUUGGCACUUGGGACUCGGCAGCGCAAGCAUUGCAUAUACAAGCACGAGGAUAAGGCCCUGCCAUAAACCUCUUUCAUAGGUUAUCAUGCAAAGGGAAGGCGCGCGGGCGGCAAACUCGAUAUCUAUGGCUGCAUCCCCGCGUACAAAAUUCCGGGAGGGCAAAAUCAAGGAAAAUCGCUGAUAAUGGGGAGACCUGCCAGCUCCCCGUGAAAAUGAUGCUACUUUCUUUAUUUGCGUAGCCUGGCGUAGCCUGGCGUAGCCACGGAAAACUGUAUAUCAGCUCUCGAUCUCAUAUAAUAUAUAGCCGCAGAAAGCAAUCAACCCACGGGCGUCAGAUCGACAAAGAG
rnacentral:lncRNA from 1 species